UGACCUCGGAUCAGACGUGAUUACCCGC
rnacentral:rRNA from 5 species